AUUGAACGCUGGCGGCAGGCCUAACACAUGCAAGUCGAGCGGAUGAAGGGAGCUUGCUCCUGGAUUCAGCGGCGGACGGGUGAGUAAUGCCUAGGAAUCUGCCUGGUAGUGGGGUCAAGGGCCGGAAACGGGGGCUAAUUACGCUAACAUCCCGAGGGAGAAACGGGGGGAAGUUGGGACUCCACGGAACCAGAGGGGCCUAGGUCGGAUUAGCUAGUUGGUGGGGUAAAGGCCUACCAAGGCGACGAUCCGUAACUGGUCUGAGAGGAUGAUCAGUCACACUGGAACUGAGACACGGUCCAGACUCCUACGGGAGGCAGCAGUGGGGAAUAUUGGACAAUGGGCGAAAGCCUGAUCCAGCCAUGCCGCGUGUGUGAAGAAGGUCUUCGGAUUGUAAAGCACUUUUAUUUGGGAGGAAAGGCAGUAAGUUAAUACCUUGCUGUUUUGACGUUACCCACAGAAUAAGCACCGGCUAACUUCGUG
rnacentral:rRNA from 1 species